rnacentral:rRNA from 1 species
CAGUCGCCGCGGUAAUACAGAGGGUGCGAGCGUUAAUCGGAUUUACUGGGCGUAAAGCGUGCGUAUGCGGCUUUUUAAGUCGGAUGUGAAAUCCCUGAGCUUAACUUAGGAAUUGCAUUCGAUACUGGGAAGCUAGAGUAUGGGAGAGGAUGGUAGAAUUCCAGGUGUAGCGGUGAAAUGCGUAGAGAUCUGGAGGAAUACCGAUGGCGAAGGCAGCCAUCUGGCCUAAUACUGACGCUGAGGUACGAAAGCAUGGGGAGCAAACAGGAUUAGAUACCCCAGUAGUCCCUGUCUCUUAUAC